rnacentral:rRNA from 2 species
UUUGAUCCUGGCUCAGAUUGAACGCUGGCGGCAGGCCUAACACAUGCAAGUCGAACGGUAACAUUUCUAGCUUGCUAGAAGAUGACGAGUGGCGGACGGGUGAGUAAUGCUUGGGAACUUGCCUUUGCGAGGGGGAUAACAGUUGGAAACGACUGCUAAUACCGCAUAAUGUCUUCGGACCAAACGGGGCUUCGGCUCCGGCGCAAAGAGAGGCCCAAGUGAGAUUAGCUAGUUGGUAAGGUAACGGCUUACCAAGGCGACGAUCUCUAGCUGUUCUGAGAGGAAGAUCAGCCACACUGGGACUGAGACACGGCCCAGACUCCUACGGGAGGCAGCAGUGGGGAAUAUUGCACAAUGGGGGAAACCCUGAUGCAGCCAUGCCGCGUGUGUGAAGAAGGCCUUCGGGUUGUAAAGCACUUUCAGUUGUGAGGAAAAGUUAGUAGUUAAUAC